CUGGGCCACGGGGCGAUGGCGCGGGUAGGACGCAUCCCUCAGAGGCCAGGAGGAGCGCGAGAAGGUCCCAGGACCCCCUUGGGAGGCGCCGCUCCCGAGAAUGUAGAGCCUGGGAGAUACCACCGCACGGAAUGGGGUGACGGUGUUAGCACUGGCCGUUUACACGUCCACCCCCAGGAGAGGCUGGGUUCCCCUCGUGUCUCCCCGUUGUCCAGCCCAAAGUAGGCCUGAGACAGAGCCAGGAACUGUUGCUGGAUGAAGAGGCAUGCUGGAGGGAAGCUUGGCAGCACGCAUGCAGCCCCGGCCGCAGCUGCCCAGUGCCCAGACACCCGCCUGCCCCUACCUGGGUCGGCUCUUCCACGCUCUUGUUGAGGAAGUUGAGGGAACUGGCCCGCUUCAUCCUGAGGGAAAAGGACAGCCUGGGAUUUGCCCAAGGAGGAACUCACGGGAGAUGGGGGCAGGGA
rnacentral:lncRNA from 1 species